rnacentral:rRNA from 1 species
UUCCGGUUGAUCCUGCCGGAGCCUACUGCUAUCGGUUUAGGACUAAGACAUGCAAGUUCAGCGACUCAGCAAGAGUUGCAGCGAACCGCUCAGUAACGAGUAGUCAACCUACCCCAUGGAGGAGGACAACUGCGGGAAACUGCAGUUAAUCCUCCAUAAACGAGGCACGCUGGAAUGCUGUCUCGCUAAAAAGGGUCAAUCUUAUGCUGAUUGAUACCGCCAUGGGACGGGACUGCUUCCGAUCAGGUAGUAGGUGGGGUAAUGGCCCACCUAGCCUCUGACCGGUACGGGCCGUGAGAGCGAUAGCCCGGAGAUGGAUACUGAGACAACGAUCCAGGCCCUACGGGGUGCAGCAGUCGCGAAACCUGGCCAAUGAGCGCAAGCUUGAGCCGGCUAAACCGAGUGGGGUCCUAACGGGUCCCUUUUAACAAGUGUUAGUAGCUCGUUGAAUAAGGAGAGGGCAAGACUGGUGCCAGCCGCCGCGGUAAAACCAGCUCUUCGAGUGGUGGGCGUGCUUACUGGGCCUAAAGCAUCCGUAGCCGGGUCUGCAAGUCCACAGUUAAAGCCCACGUCUUAAGCGUGGAAUCGCUGUGGAUACUACAGACCUUGGGAUCGGGAGAGGCGUGAGGUACGUUUCGGGUAGGGGUGAAAUCCGAUAAUCCGAAACGGACCACCGGUGGCGAAGGCGUCGCGCUAGAACGAGUCCGACGGUCAGGGAUGAAAGCCAGGGGAGCGAGCCGGAUUAGAUACCCGGGUAGUCCUGGCUGUAAACGAUGCCCGCUAAGUGUUGCGCAUGGCACGACUAUGCGCAGUGCCGAAGGAAAGCCGCUAAGCGGGCCGCCUGGGGAGUACGGUCGCAAGACUGAAACUUAAAAGAAUUGGCGGGGGGAGCACCACAAGGGGUGGAGCCUGCGAUUAAUUGACUCAACGCCG